AUUGAACGCUGGCGGAAUGCUUUACACAUGCAAGUCGAACGGCAGCACGGACUUCGGUCUGGUGGCGAGUGGCGAACGGGUGAGUAACAUAUCGGAACGUAUCCAAUAAUGGGGGAUAACGAGUCGAAAGAUUCGCUAAUACCGCAUACGCCCUACGGGGGAAAGCUGGGGACCUUCGGGCCUGGCGUUAAUGGAGCGGCCGAUAUCUGAUUAGCUAGUUGGUGAGGUAAAGGCUCACCAAGGCGACGAUCAGUAGCUGGUCUGAGAGGACGACCAGCAACACUGGAACUGGGAGACGGUCCAGACUCCUACGGGAGGCAGCAGUGGGGAGUUUUGGACAAUGGGCGCAAGCCUAAUCCAGCCAUUCCGCGUGAGUGAAGAAGGCCUUCGGGUCGUAAAGCUCUUUCGCAAGGGAAGAAAACUUAGCCACUAACAUUGGUUGAGGUUGACGGUACCUUGAUAAGAAGCACCGGCUAACUACGUGCCAGCCGCCGCCGUAA
rnacentral:rRNA from 1 species